ACGCUCGGGUUUCUCUUCAGAUCGCACAAAUCUUUCGCCUUUUACUAAAGAUUUCCGUGGAGAGAAACAGUAAUGAGGUUCUAGCAAAUUUUUGAAGCUCUGCCUCUGUGGAGCU